rnacentral:piRNA from 1 species
GUAAGUCUGUCGGGAAACUUGGU